UAUUGGUCAAUAGCCUAACGGCUGAACCAGCAACUUGGCGGAAUGUAUAGGGAAAACUGGUAAAAUGUGUAGUACCUAAUAAUAUUAGCUAAUAAUAUGAUAUUAACUAAGUUAAUUAAAAUUCUGAGUAGAUAUGUGAUUAUGACAAUAUCUGCUAAAGUCUUGACCAAGUCACGUGCCAGCAGUCGCGGUAAUACGUGGAAGACGAGUGUUAUUCAUCUUUAUUAGGUUUAAAGGGUACCUAGACGGUUAAUUAAGCAAUUAUUUUGUACUGAUUAACUAGAGUUUAAUGUAAGAAGGAUCGAGUACGGUGAGUGUAGAGAUAAAAUUUUGUGAUACCAUCUUGGAACUGGUAAAAGCGAAGGCAACCUUCUAUGUAAAAACUGACGUUAAGGGACGAAGG
rnacentral:rRNA from 1 species